UGGGGAAUCUUGCACAAUGGGGGCAACCCUGAUGCAGCGACGCCGCGUGAGCGAUGAAGCCCUUCGGGGCGUAAAGCUCUUUCGACCGGAACGAUAAUGACGGUACCGGGAGAAGAAGCUCCGGCUAACUACGUGCCAGCAGCCGCGGUAAUACGUAGGGAGCAAGCGUUGUUCGGAUUUACUGGGCGUAAAGGGCGCGUAGGCGGCGCGGUAAGUCACUUGUGAAAUCUCUGAGCUUAACUCAGAACGGCCAAGUGAUACUGCUGUGCUAGAGUGCGGAAGAGGCAACCGGAAUUCUUGGUGUAGCGGUGAAAUGCGUAGAUAUCAAGAGGAACACCUGAGGCGAAGGCGGGUUGCUGGGCCGACACUGACGCUGAUGCGCGAAAGCCAGGGGAGCAAACG
rnacentral:rRNA from 1 species